rnacentral:rRNA from 1 species
UGGGCGCAGCCUGAUCCAGCAAUGCCGCGUGUGUGAUGAAGGCCUUCGGGUUGUAAAGCUCUUUUGUCCGGGAAGAAAAUGACCGGGCUAAUACCUGAGGCCCCUGACAGUUCCUUGCCAACAACCCCCGGCUUAAUACGUGCCAGCAGCCGCGGUAA